CACUUUUCAUUAUUAACACACACACGUUCAGCAGCAGCAAAACCUCUGAUGCAGGAGGGCCGAGUGGUUGUCCUGCUCAUUUGGAAGUGGCAGCAGCUCUGGUGCCAGCAGUGCUGAUGGCUGUGAGUGAGGGGAUGGGUGUCCACGUGUCCUGAAUCACCCGCAGCACGAGUUAAAUGCUCUGACUCAGGAGCAGGAAGGGAAAGCUUAAGCCAGGAGGAGGGAGGCUGUGACAUUUCUUCCCCAGUGUCACGUGCUGUCCAGGGCGGGUCGCAGAGCCAGUUUUUCUGCUCCCAGAGUGGGACUUGGGGAGGAGACCGCAAUGCUCAAAUAGCCACCGUGCUGCCCACUGCCAGCCAGGUGCUGAGGAGCCCACUCGCCUUUCCUGCUCCAGGUGUGACCACCUUGUGCUCCAGAGCCCUUUGGUUGUGGUGAAAUGUCGACGAUCCUGAAAUGGUUUGGACGGGAAGAUAAGGAGAGAGAGGAGAAGGAAGAGGAGAAGAAGCAGGAGGCAGAGGAGGAAAAGGACGAGGGAGUUGGGGACGGUGACAACAGGAGCAGCAGCAGCACAGAGGAGCCCCAGGACCAGGGCCGUGCUGAGGAUGUUGAGAAGGAAGCCCAGGAGUAGACUUGCUGGGCACGCCGAGGAGGUGGG
ensembl:lncRNA